CCUACGGGAGGCAGCAGUGAGGAAUUUUGCGCAAUGGGGGAAACCCUGACGCAGCGACGCCGCGUGGAGGAUGAAGGCCUUCGGGUCGUAAACUCCUGUCAGAGGUGAAGAAUUCCCGCAAGGGGUUGACGGUAACCUCAAAGGAAGCCCCGGCUAACUACGUGCCAGCAGCCGCGGUAAUACGUAGGGGGCAAACGUUACUCGGAAUUACUGGGCGUAAAGGGUGUGUAGGCGGUUGAGUAAGUCAAAGAUGAAAUCCCGCGGCUCAACCACGGAAUCGUCUUUGAAACUGCUCGGCUUGAGGAUAGUAGAGGAGAAUGGAAUUCCCGGUGGAGCGGUGAAAUGCGUAGAUAUCGGGAGGAACACCAGAGGCGAAGGCGAUUCUCUAGACUACUCCUGACGCUGAAACACGAAAGCUAGGGGAGCGAACGGGAUUAGAUACCCUAGUAGUC
rnacentral:rRNA from 1 species